rnacentral:rRNA from 1 species
GAGUUUGAUCGUGGCUCAGGACGAACGCUGGCGGCGCGCUUAACACAUGCAAGUCGAGCGAGAACCCAGGCUUCGGUCUGGGGGAAAGCGGCGAACGGGUGAGUAACACGUGAGUAAUCUGCCCUCGACAUCGGGAUAGCCCGGGGAAACCCGGAUUAAUACCGAAUAGCCCAACAGCUUUUCGGAGCGGUUGGAAAAGGUAGCUUUGGCCUCCGGUCGAGGAGGAGCUCGCGGCGGAUUAGCUUGUUGGUGAGGUAACGGCUCACCAAGGCUUCGAUCCGUAGCUGGUCUGAGAGGACGAUCAGCCACACUGGGACUGAGACACGGCCCAGACUCCUACGGGAGGCAGCAGUGGGGAAUCUUGCGCAAUGGGCGAAAGCCUGACGCAGCGACGCCGCGUGAGGGAAGAAGGCCUCGGUUGUAA